GGAGAUGUGGACUUGGUAAUGGGGAAGGGACUGCAUUCCCGGUCCUGGUAGGAAAGCAGGGCUUUGUCACCCGAGCAAGGAGAAAGCGACACUGCAGGGUACAGAAAACAACAGGUGCUCCCUUGGGGCAUGCCAGGUACUGGGAAGAGCUCACAGCUGCCUUCUGCUGGACCAGAGGAGCUCCUGUCCCAACCAGGCUGGGGGGUCUUGAUCAGAGUCCUAGGAAGGCCUCUCACAUGUGGACCAGCUGUUGAUCUUUGUGUGCACAUUGGAGAGAAUUCUUGUGUAGUGGAUUAAGCUGGCCGGCCAGCCAGCCACCACGAGGGUUGGGCUGGACUCCACCACGUGUCUGAGGCUGUCGCUUCGCUUUGACCCAGGAAAAUCACUACCUUCUCCAGAUCCUGUUCUCUAACAAGGCCUGCUGCUCUGUGUUCCCAUAGAAACCCUGAACUUUGUACACUUUACGGGAUCCCCUUUUUGCUUGAUAUUUGUCCCUAUUGCUCUUUGAGGCAGAG